GCAUAAAUGUGUGAGGAAUCUUGUGACAGAGGUUUCUGAUCCAAACACAAACUUUUAUUUUAAUUUAUUUUUAUUUUAUAUAUAUAUUUUUGAACAUGUGUGUGCAACACAAGAAAGUAAACUGAAAAAAAAUUAAUCAACAGUUGCAAAUACUUUGGAUAUCUGCAUGUAAACAAUCACCUGAAAUGAUUAAGGUCCUUUUUACACAUGGGGAGCAUUUUAUUCAUGCGAUUAUUUCGGGGGUCAAAAUUAUUUCUCGAACCCGUAUCUUGUCAAGCGUUCACAUCAGCAACGUUUUCCCAACCUGCGAUAUUGCGGCAUCUAUUUUUUCGGCUCACAGUCGAAUAUUCAAAAGUUUUGCAUACUGUGUGUCCACUUCUGACCAAUCAGAAUGCGUGUUGUUGCGACCUCAGAUUCACAGGUAUAUCCAACACAGCUGAGAGGCUGAUUGUAUACGUGUCGGAGAACAGAGUGCUUUCUGAUAAAAGACACAAAUAUUACAAAAAUAAUAAAUUUAACAGUUUGCUAAACAUCUUUCUGGGAUGGAUCAGGUAGCGACAAGGUUAAAUGGCUGUGAUGCAAACCUAUAAAUUCUUUUGUGAUGAAGUCAGUAAAAAUCUGUCUAAAACACACAGUAUCGGAUUUAAAUGAGCAUGGACUAAUGAACUUAGACAUGGCUUUUUUUUUUUGUCUUCAUUUAAAGCUCCUUUCACACUGGGACCGUUUUUUCGUGCGAUUAUUUUGGACGUCAAUAUUUUUUUUUUUGAACCCGUAUCCUGUCAAUACAAGCGUUCACAUCAGUGACGUUUUCCCCGUCCUGCAAUAUGCGGCAUUUAUUUUUUCGGAUCACAGCCGAUUUUUCUAAAGUUUCGCAUACUGUGUGUCCACUUCUGACCAAUCAGAUUUUGUGUUGUUACAACGUCAGAUUCACUGGUUUAUCCAACAUGGCCGACCGGCUGAUUGUUUAUGUGUUGGAGAACAGAGUGCUUUUUGAUAAAAGACACAAAUAUUACAAAGAUAACGACUUGAAGGACAACUUGUGGAGAGUCAUAGCGUCGGAUUUCUCAUAUAACGAUGGUUUGUGUGCUUUAACAGUUUGCUAAACGUCUUUGUUUUAACUUUCAUCUGUGCUAAGUAACUUUAGCUCAUAAGCUAACCUGUUCAGAUACAACAUACCAUAUGUAUUUUCACUGUCUCAAACUCAAUUGUGUUGCUGUCACAGCACCAUUAAGUCUCGGUUGUACCUUACGUUUAUGGAUUAUAGUUUAAUGUGCUUAUCUGGUACUGGCCCCGACUCAGUACAACUCAAUUGCGUUGCUGUCACAGCACCAUUAGGGGUCUGUUCUACAAAGCAAGUUCAACCUAGCCUUGGAGCUACCUCGCUUAACUUACCAUGGUAGCCAGCAGUCUCGCUAAACAGUCUUACGACGCUGGUUAUCAACCUCGUAAGUGGAUCCAGCUUUGCUAUGAGCAUGUGCACGCAUGUAAGGCGGAGCCUGCCGCAUCUGACCAAUCGCGAACAUGGACCAGUCUGGAGCGUCAGAGCAGACCAGAGAGUGAAGGACCGCAGACUUUACAAACGAGGAGCUGGAGACGAUCAUGAGAAAGUAUGAAGAAUUCAAAUCUAUCAUAAACCUCAAAAGUAACACCGUCGCCGCUGCAAAAGUACGGAAGGAAUGCUGGCAGAAAAUUGCAGACAGUCUCAAUGCGUAAAUAUAUUUUUGAUGCCAUUAUCACCCUGAAAUAGCACUGUUCAACAUGCACUUUUAACAUGCACCAGACAUGUCUGAUUCAUUUCCAAGAUGAAUUCAUUCAUUUGUUCAUUCCUAUUGUGUUUACAUUUUUGUGUGAUAUGUAAGCCAUAUGAGCCUUUCAUAAAGGUGGUCAUCCGGAAAUGUAAGUGGGUCCGUGUGGUCCCUGAAAACUCUUGCACGCUGGAGUGCUCCUCGGACAAUGCGAGCACUGAGGUCUAUAGGAUCCUCCAAGAACAGACAAGCCAUAUAUUUGCGUCAUUCCUGGUGUGUAAGAACCUUAAGGGCUACACCUGCUGCGAAGUAAAACGUUUGCAUCACCAUGGUAACCAGGUGGUAGACAUUCUGACUCAUUAUUGCUGUAAAAUCUCUAUAUAGUGAAUGCAAAUAUUCUUUGGUGGUAUUGUUAAGUCACUCACUGGGUCACCACAGGCAGCUGCAGACUUUGGUCAUAGGACGGCAGCAUACAGUCCUACUUCUUAACACUGCAGGCAAACAGUUUAGUUUUUUACUGCGUUAAAGUUGCUGUUAUGAAGAGUUAAGAAAUUAAACUAAGUAAGUAAACACAGAGAUCUCAAACUGCAAAA